rnacentral:rRNA from 1 species
UACGGGGGGAGCAAGCGUUGUUCGGAUUUACUGGGCGUAAAGGGCGCGUAGGCGGUUCGUACAGUCAGACGUGAAAUUCCUGGGCUCAACCUGGGGGCUGCGUUUGAUACGUGCGGGCUUGAGUUCGGAAGAGGGUCGUGGAAUUCCCAGUGUAGAGGUGAAAUUCGUAGAUAUUGGGAAGAACACCGGUGGCGAAGGCGGCGACCUGGUCCGAUGCUGACGCUGAGGCGCGAAAGCGUGGGGAGCAAACAGG